UACAGAGGGGGCAAGCGUUAUUCGGAAUUAUUGGGCGUAAAGGGCGCGUAGGCGGCUUGGCAAGUGGAUGGUGAAAUCCCUCGGCUUAACCGAGGAACUGCCAUCCAGACUGCUUUGCUUGAGGCCGGGAGAGGUGAGUGGAAUUCCCAGUGUAGCGGUGAAAUGCGUAGAUAUUGGGAAGAACACCAGUGGCGAAGGCGACUUACUGGACACAUAUUGACGCUGAGGUGCGAAAGCGUGGGGAGCAAACAGG
rnacentral:rRNA from 1 species